AUUGGCUACGGAGAUAUGACUCCGCAUACAUACCUCGGUAGGAUCAUCGGAUCGGUAUGCGCUCUUGCCGGCGUACUCACCAUCGCUUUACCCGUUCCUGUAUGUUCGUUACAAAG
rfam:Toxocara canis scaffold717, whole genome shotgun sequence.